UACAGAGGUCUCAAGCGUUGUUCGGAUUCAUUGGGCGUAAAGGGUGUGUAGGUGGCGCCGUAAGUGGGGUGUGAAAUCUCGGGGCUUAACUCCGAAACUGCAUUCGAUACUGCGGUGCUUGAGGACUGGAGAGGAGACUGGAAUUCAUGGUGUAGCAGUGAAAUGCGUAGAGAUCAUGAGGAAGACCAGUGGCGAAGGCGGGUCUCUGGACAGUUCCUGACACUGAGACACGAAGGCCAGGGGAGCAAACGGG
rnacentral:rRNA from 1 species